GGGGGGAUCGGUGACCCGGUCUACCACCGGGAUGUUCAUAACCCUUUGUUGUCCGACUCUGUUGCCUCCGGGGCGACCCUGCCUUCGGGCGGGGGCUCCGGGUGGACACUUCAAACUCUUGCGUAACUUUGCAGUCUGAGUAAACUUAAUUAAUAAAUUAAAACUUUUAACAACGGAUCUCUUGGUUCUGGCAUCGAUGAAGAACGCAGCGAAAUGCGAUAAGUAAUGUGAAUUGCAGAAUUCAGUGAAUCAUCGAAUCUUUGAACGCACAUUGCGCCCCCUGGUAUUCCGGGGGGCAUGCCUGUUCGAGCGUCAUUUCACCACUCAAGCCUCGCUUGGUAUUGGGCAACGCGGUCCGCCGCGUGCCUCAAAUCGACCGGCUGGGUCUUCUGUCCCCUAAGCGUUGUGGAAACUAUUCGCUAAAGGGUGCUCGGGAGGCUACGCCGUAAAACAAACCCAUUUCUAAGGUUGACCUCGGAUCAGGUAGGGAUACCCGCUGAACUUAAGCAUAUCAUAAAGCCGGAAGGAA
rnacentral:rRNA from 1 species